GUUGGCUCAAAAACAAGCUCAGCAACACUACCAACACACGCCUGUAAGAGGCUGAUCUUCUGUUACUUUGCACUUGGGAGUUUAUUGGCCAGUGUAGCAUACUCUGCAAGAUUUUAGUACAAGGGUUUCCAUUCACACAGACAGAGUGAAGAAGACCACAGAGUGCAUAGAAACUUUUAACAAUUCUACUCCAUUCAUCCAAAUUUAGUCUCAGGCACGACCGAAAACAAAGAGACCACACCUGCUUGAGAGCAGCCGCCAUUGCAAAGCAGUAUGCUCGCAGGGGCAACGUGUCACCUUUUAGCUGUGCUUCUUCAAGCAGUCUCGCAGAGAUUUUGGAAGACUCUGGGUUGUCCUGCAUAGAAAUAUCAGAGGAAGUUGUGCUUGUUAUUCUGGCUACCUGAAAGGAGUAUAGGCACCUACAAUCAUAUUCAGAAGGUGUUCAGAAGUCAACAUACUGUACAAUCACAACAGCAAUAUGUAUCUGAACCCAACCAAGCAGAUUCUGUGAAGCUCUUUUUGAGAAACAGAACAUAAAAAUAUAAUAUUUGAAGUGACAGAGGUCACAGGAGGGUAUAAAUACUUCUAUUAUUUUUACAACUACACCUUGCCCUAACUAGCUGGGCUUCUGCAACAGAUGAAACAGCCCUACCAGUAUCCUAAACAAACAGACAUUUUCAUUUUCACUUUCAAAUAAUUUCUAAAUCAGGAAGGAAGAUUAAUUUUUGUUGUUACUUUAUUACAAAAGCUGCAUUAGAUAGUUACUGAAAAUCAACAUUUUCUAAACUUUGAACUAUUAAGUACCAUUCCACUAAAGAAAUCUGUAUACAUGUGAAUUUGAACAUUCAGACAUUUUUAGCCUCUCUUAAGGAUUAAUUAAUGGAAAAUGCUUACAAAUUAUAUAUUCUAAUAUUACAGCUUAAGAAAUCUGCCUUUUUCCAACACAGAAGGCUUCCAUUAUUGUUGGGAAUCUUCAACAGACGAUACUAAAAUGCAAUGAGUUUAGCUGUGUGCUACCUCUCAAACUAUCAACUCUCCAAACCAAUGCUGCUCACACUGGAAAUCACAAGUGGAACUGACUGGACCCCAAACAAAAUAGCAUCUGUCAAACCUAAAAGCUGGCAGCAGGAAGGUUUUGUAACAAUUAGUACCACCAAUAUGGAUAAUAGUCCUCAGAUUUGGUGUUGAUUUCUGUUCCUAGUAUUCAAAGUGUCAUUCCUGAAAAAUAUGGUUUAAAAUAUGUUCCUUGAAAAUUUAGAAAUAUUUUGACCACCAGAAGAUUGGUUAUUAUUAUAUAAAUAGUUUGUUAUCAUCAAAAGGCCCAUAGCUCUUUCCUGCACUAAAGGAAAGACCAUCUGUUACCUCAGAGUAUGGCAGUGCCUUACAGAGACUUAAACCAACCCAGAAGUGUUUUAGAG